rnacentral:lncRNA from 1 species
CUGGAAAGAAGCCAAGCACCUUAUCAUCCCAGUAAAGUCCCAGCAUGCACUGGGAUUCAGAUCCGCAAAAAUUUUAGCUCACCUCUGAGUUUGCUGCUGCCACCCAUGUGCCAGCCCUGCCACCACCCAGCCAAGACCCAGCUGCACAGAGCUUGCCCGAAUUCUCUCCUUCAAUGCUUGCUUCCUCACUGUCCUGAUACUGCCUCUCUGCCCUGAAGUCAGUGUUGCUCCUUCUUCAAGAAAAGUUCAUCCUGUCCUGGCUGAAAUGGAUGCAAGAAGUCCCUGCAGUUGCAACAGGAGUGGACUUCACCUUGCACAGGAUCUGGGGAAGAGUUGGCAUCAGCCUUCAGAUUAAAAUUCAAGAGUUCCUGGCUCUCCUUUAAAGUGCACAUUACCAUGCUCCCCUGCUCACAGCCAUCCAUCAGCUCUGCCUAUUCCACAAGUGCUUUGUAAAGGCUUCAUUUUUUAGAAGCAAACUUCUGUCUUCUCAUCCACUUUCCACAUUUGGAAUAUUUGAGCACCUUUAGCAGGUUUCUGUCCAAAUUUGGCAGUCUCUCUUGGAAGCCAAAGAGAAUUAAUCACCUGCCAAGGAGAAAUUAAUCACUUUGUUUCUGCCUCCCCCAUGCAUGAUGACAGAAAUUCAAGCCUUUGGCUCCACCAGCAGCAGCCACAAGUGGUUUAAGACUGCUUUAACUGUCCUGCAUCACCUCUCCCAUCUUCUCCCUGCUUGCAGCUAAGCUCAGGCUAUUAUUAGCUGGUUUUAGUGAUGGAAUAGGCUUGCUUUUCCCCCUGCCCUUUCUGCCAUCAAGGAUGCACUGCGACUAAUACAAUCCUCAGCUCCAGGCUGAAUUACUGUGAUUGAACUACAUAGGGAAGCUCUGCCAAGGCUUUGACUUCAUGGCCAUGGGAUAGCUCCAUCUCAAGCAGAAGGAAGAGUGCCCUGGGGGUCUACUCACUUAUUCCCCACUUAUUUCCAGUCCAUUUCAAAAACAAGGAACUUAUCAACAAAGUUCAGCUGUAGCAGAGACCAUAUCUCCAGCUGCAACUCAGCUGGCAAAGGAUGCUCCUUUGGC